GACCAGGUGGCUUGAUUUCUCACUCUGUCUCUCGCUGGAUGUUUUAAUUGUGAAAGUGGUCAUCCAGUCUGAGCAGACCCCCGAUAGCGGAUGUUACCUGAUUACUUUCCAUUUCCAGCAUGGACGGUCUGGCAGCGUCCAGUGGAUGUCAAAUAUGUGCUCCAUGAAUGGAUGAUUGAAUGAACAAAUAAGGAAAUUGAGACUCAAGAGAGCAAAGACAAGGCAUUCAAGGUCACCUGGCAAGAAAGGGCUCCCGGCCCAUAGGAAUAUUGAUUUGUAGACCUGUGUGACUGAGUUCUACCCAACGAAAUGUGGACAUGCACGG